rnacentral:rRNA from 1 species
AUUGAACGCUGGCGGCAUGCCUUACACAUGCAAGUCGAACGGCAGCACGGGAGCAAUCCUGGUGGCGAGUGGCGAACGGGUGAGUAAAGUAUCGGAACGUGCCCAGUCGUGGGGGAUAACGUAGCGAAAGUUACGCUAAUACCGCAUACGAUCUACGGAUGAAAGCGGGGGAUCGCAAGACCUCGCGCGAUUGGAGCGGCUGAGAUCAGAUUAGGUAGUUGGUGGGGUAAAGGCUCACCAAGCCGACGAUCUGUAGCUGGUCUGAGAGGACGACCAGCCACACUGGGACUGAGACACGGCCCAGACUCCUACGGGAGGCAGCAGUGGGGAAUUUUGGACAAUGGGCGCAAGCCUGAUCCAGCCAUGCCGCGUGUAGGAUGAAGGCCUUCGGGUUGUAAACUGCUUUUGUACGGAACGAAAAGGUUUGGCCUAAUAAGCUGGACCCAUGACGGUACCGUAAGAAUAAGCACCGGCUAACUACGUGCCAGCAGCCGCCGUAA